rnacentral:rRNA from 1 species
CGGCAAGAGCUCAAAUUUGAAAGCUGGCCCCCUCGGGGUCCGCAUUGUAAUUUGCAGAGGAUGCUUCGGGAACGGCCCCCAUCUAAGUGCCCUGGAACGGGCCGUCAUAGAGGGUGAGAAUCCCGUCUGGGAUGGGGUGGCCGCGCCCGUGUGAAGCUCCUUCGACGAGUCGAGUUGUUUGGGAAUGCAGCUCUAAUUGGGUGGUAAAUUUCAUCUAAAGCUAAAUAUUGGCCGGAGACCGAUAGCGCACAAGUAGAGUGAUCGAAAGAUGAAAAGCACUUUGAAAAGAGAGUUAAACAGCACGUGAAAUUGUUGAAAGGGAAGCGCUUGCGACCAGACUCGCCCGCGGGGUUCAGCCGGCACUCGUGCCGGUGUACUUCCCCGCGGGCGGGCCAGCGUCGGUUUGGGCGGCCGGUCAAAGGCCUCUGGAAGGUAACGCCUCUCGGGGCGUCUUAUAGCCAGGGGUGCCAUGCGGCCUGCCCGGACCGAGGAACGCGCUUCGGCUCGGACGCUGGCAUAAUGGUCGUAAGCGACCCGUCUUGA